AUGAGCAGAGGGACGGAGCAGCUCUGCUGCCAGGAAAGGCUGCCACAGCUGCCAUUGCUCAGCCCGGACAGGAGAAGCUUUGGCCUCAGCUCCCUGUGGCCUCGCAGGGCCCGAAGGAGCCGCAGCAAAGGUGGAGAGAGACAAUUGCCAAGGGCUGCAGGGCCAGGAGCCAGGGAAUGGCUGCCAGUGGCAGAGGGCAGGGCUGGAUGGGAUCUUGGGCAGGGAUUGUUCCCUGGCAGGGUGGGCAGGCCCUGGCACAGGGUGCCCAGAGCAGCUGGGGCUGCCCCUGGAUCCCUGGCAGUGCCCAAGGCCAGGCUGGACAUUGGGGCUGGCAGCUCCUGGGACACUGGGAGAUGGCCCUGCCAUGGCUGGGGUGGGAAUGGGGGGGAAUUGGGGUCCCUUCCAAUUAAUCAAAUCCAUGAUUUCUUACAGUCACGGAGAAAGCCAGCAGCGCUGAACCACGGGCCACAUUCGUGCUGCUCCUCUCACCUCCUCUCACCUCAGAAAUUACAGGAAGUGGUUUUCCAUUGCAAAGGUAAGAAGACAAUCAGCAGCUUAAUAAUUCAGAGAGAAAAAGAAAAAUUCACCCCUGUGGAAAAACCUGAAGAUCAAGGACAGCUAAGACAUAAAGCAAUUGGCAGAAAAUAUCAGAGAAAAAAGGAAACAUGACACUACUUCUAAAGAGAGGUUUUAUAGAAUUAUUUAACAAGUUUAAUAAACAGACUGCCAAAUAACUCCUAUCUAGUGGU
rnacentral:lncRNA from 1 species